rnacentral:tRNA from 1 species
UGGCUCAGACAGUAAAGAAUCUGCCUUUGAUGCAGAAGACCUAGGUUCGAUUCCUGG